AGUCAGAAUGGUAUAUCAGCUUUAGAUGGAAACUAACGAGCUAACUUCCUGCUAAAAUUUAACUGUGUACGAACUUUGUAAAUCCUGUUUUUCAUGGAUGCCUGGAUGUUAAACUUUGUUGUGACACCUGGGAGAGCACUGACCAUUUUAUUGAAGGUGAAAGAAAUCAGUUUUUACUUACUAGCAGAUAUGCAUGCAUGUGUUUAGCAUGUGCACAGUGCACAGCCACCUUUGUAACCAAGCUAGCUAGCAUUAGCCAAUAAGUUGAGUUAUGGUCAGAACACAUAUUUUAUUAUUAAUUUUUUCUAACAUUUGUUUUCGUGUAACUGUUUGUAAAGUAAUUGAUUUGUUAGAAAGUUAUAAUAAUUUUUUUUUUUUUUUACAAAUGUACUUUCUGGCCUGUUAUUUUUCUAUUUCCAAAAAGUGAAAGUUUAUUUAACCGUGACUUACUAAGUAAUGAAUUAUUAGCAAAAUGCUAAAUGUGUUUCUUGCCUUGACUUGUACAGUAGAAGGUCGUGAGAUGCAAUGAUAAACACAGACUGUAAAGACAGUUUGAUAAAAUUAUUGCACUAUUGAUUUAGAAAAACAAAAACAAAUUUGAAAUGUUUCAAAAUUCAAAAAUUACCAAAAACUUUAGACAGAUUGUAUUUCUGCAUUUCUGUUUAAGUGUAUUCAUUUUAUCAGAGUCUGGGAUGACUUAGCCUUAAGAAAAAAAAUGUCACACUGCUGUUACCGUUUUGUGAAAAACUGGGAAACAUAAAAUUGGUGUGAGGUCAAAACAAUGACAGAUGACGAGCUAGGAAGGAAAGGAAGUGAGGAGAAGCAGUAGUGACUGUCCCUUUGUCCUGAAGGUGGAAACAAGGUUGCGUGUUUUUCCCACACUGGUGAUAGAGCUAUCUGUGUCAGUCCUAGUCAUGCAGGCAGUGCACCCCUCAAGCUCCACCUCAGCCCUGCACAGCUUACAGGCUGUCCUCAGAAGGAGCCAGCCAAUAAAGAUAAGCUUGACGGAGGAGCCAGCCAAUAAAAGAUAAGCCUCAGAGGAGCCAGCCAAUAAAAGAUAAGACCUUGGGCAUGUCUGUG
ensembl:lncRNA